AUACGUAGGGUGCGAGCGUUGUCCGGAAUUACUGGGCGUAAAGAGCUCGUAGGUGGUUUGUCGCGUCGUCUGUGAAAUUCCGGGGCUUAACUCCGGGCGUGCAGGCGAUACGGGCAUAACUUGAGUACUGUAGGGGAGACUGGAAUUCCUGGUGUAGCGGUGAAAUGCGCAGAUAUCAGGAGGAACACCGGUGGCGAAGGCGGGUCUCUGGGCAGUAACUGACGCUGAGGAGCGAAAGCAUGGGUAGCGAACAGGAUUAAAUACCCUGGUAGUCCAUGCCGUAAACGGUGGGCGCUAGGUGUAGGGGUCUUCCACGACUUCUGUGCCGUAGCUAACGCAUUAAGCGCCCCGCCUGGGGAGUACGGCCGCAAGGCUAAAACUCAAAUGAAUUGACGGGG
rnacentral:rRNA from 1 species